rnacentral:rRNA from 1 species
CGACGUGGAUAACCUGCCUCACACAGGGGGAUAACAGUUAGAAAUGACUGCUAAUACCGCAUAAGCGCACGGCAUCGCAUGAUGCAAUGUGAAAAACUCCGGUGGUGUGAGAUGGAUCCGCGUCUGAUUAGGUAGUUGGUGGGGUAACGGCCCACCAAGCCGACGAUCAGUAGCCGACCUGAGAGGGUGACCGGCCACAUUGGGACUGAGACACGGCCCAA